GAAAAAACAAGACAGUGUUUGUUCUUGUUACACGUUUUUGUACAUUUUUUUGAACCACAGGAGUGAGAUAUGUUUAGGAAAAUUUUUGGUAGAGUGAGAUUUGAAAUUGGUGAGUCAAUAUUCUUGUAGUUCUUAUUAAAAAAAGGGGAAACAAAAUGUUGCAACAGAACUUCGAUAGCAACAUGAAUAUCUAUUCAUCAUUUUUU
rnacentral:misc_RNA from 1 species